rnacentral:rRNA from 1 species
GAUGAACGCUGGCGGCGUGCCUAAUACAUGCAAGUCGAGCGAACAGACGAGGAGCUUGCUCCUCUGACGUUAGCGGCGGUCGAGUGAGUAACACGUGGAUAACCUACCUAUAAGACUGGGAUAACUUCGGGAAACCGGAGCUAAUACCGGAUAAUAUAUUGAACCGCAUGGUUCAAUAGUGAAAGACGGUUUUGCUGUCACUUAUAGAUGGAUCCGCGCCGCAUUAGCUAGUUGGUAAGGUAACGGCUUACCAAGGCAACGAUGCGUAGCCGACCUGAGAGGGUGAUCGGCCACACUGGAACUGAGACACGGUCCAGACUCCUACGGGAGGCAGCAGUAGGGAAUCUUCCGCAAUGGGCGAAAGCUUGACGGAGCAACGCCGCGUGAGUGAUGAAGGUCUUCGGAUCGUAAAACUCUGUUAUUAGGGAAGAACAAAUGUGUAAGUAACUAUGCACGUCUUGACGGUACCUAAUCAGAAAGCCACGGCUAACUACGUG